UGGGGAAUAUUGGACAAUGGGCGCAAGCCUGAUCCAGCCAUGCCGCGUGAGUGAUGAAGGCCCUAGGGUUGUAAAGCUCUUUCGGCGGGGACGAUAAUGACGGUACCCGCAGAAGAAGCCCCGGCUAACUUCGUGCCAGCAGCCGCGGUAAUACGAAGGGGGCUAGCGUUGUUCGGAAUCACUGGGCGUAAAGGGCGCGUAGGCGGCUAUUCAAGUCGGGGGUGAAAGCCUGUGGCUCAACCACAGAAUUGCCUUCGAUACUGUUUGGCUUGAGACCGGAAGAGGACAGCGGAACUGCGAGUGUAGAGGUGAAAUUCGUAGAUAUUCGCAAGAACACCAGUGGCGAAGGCGGCUGUCUGGUCCGGUUCUGACGCUGAGGCGCGAAAGCGUGGGGAGCAAACA
rnacentral:rRNA from 1 species